CAGUAGCCGCGGGAAUACGUAGGGUGCGAGCGUUAAUCGGAAUUACUGGGCGUAAAGCGGGCGCAGACGGUUACUUAAGCAGGAUGUGAAAUCCCCGGGCUCAACCUGGGAACUGCGUUCUGAACUGGGUAACUAGAGUGUGUCAGAGGGAGGUAGAAUUCCACGUGUAGCAGUGAAAUGCGUAGAGAUGUGGAGGAAUACCGAUGGCGAAGGCAGCCUCCUGGGAUAACACUGACGUUCAUGCCCGAAAGCGUGGGUAGCAAACAGGAUUAGAUACCCGCGUAGUCCCUGUCUCUUAUAC
rnacentral:rRNA from 1 species